rnacentral:rRNA from 1 species
GAUGAACGCUGGCGGCGUGCCUAACACAUGCAAGUCGAGCGAACCCUUCGGGGUGAGCGGCGGACGGGUGAGUAACGCGUGGGUAACCUGCCCUAUACACACGGAUAACGUACCGAAAGGUACGCUAAUACGGGAUAAAGUUGUUGGAUGGCAUCUUCUAACAAUCAAAGCUCCGGCGGUAUAGGAUGGACCCGCGUCUGAUUAGCUAGUUGGUGAGGUAAUGGCUCACCGAGGCGACGAUCAGUAGCCGACCUGAGAGGGUGAUCGGCCACACUGGAACUGAGACACGGUCCAGACUCCUACGGGAGGCAGCAGUGGGGAAUAUUGCACAAUGGGCGAAAGCCUGAUGCAGCAACGCCGCGUGAGCGAUGAAGGUCUUCGGAUCGUAAAGCUCUGUCAUCAAGGAAGAUAAUGACGGUACUUGAGGAGGAAGCCCCGGCUAACUACGUGCCAGCAGCCGCGGUAAGAC